rnacentral:rRNA from 1 species
CAUGAAGCCGGAAUUGCUAGUAAUGGCAGGUCAGCAUACUGCCGUGAAUACGUUCCCGGGCCUUGUACACACCGCCCGUCACACCAUGAGAGUUGGGAAUACCCGAAGCCUGUGAGCUAACGUUAAGGGGCAGCAGUCGAGGGUAGAAUCAAUGAUUGGGGUGAAGUCGUAACAAGGUACC